rnacentral:lncRNA from 1 species
GUGAACGUUUCCUCUCAUCACAGAAAAACUCAAGUAGAUUUCAAUAUCUUCAAGAAGACAGCAAAUCAAGGACUUCAAAAUCCCAAAAAUCGAAUCUUUAAUUAGCCAUGAUUAAAGCACUGCUCAACAAAACAGAGAUGGGCUCCAAGAACUGCAUUCUAAAAAGUGAAUAUAUGCUCGAUGCUGAAGACACACGACAUAAUGAGAACGAUGAAGCUGAAGAAAGAUCAAGUAGUAGAAAGCUAAAACCCCCUAAAUCUUAACACAGAGUUCACUAACAUAAUUCAGUGGCAAAUAAAACAAACACUAAUAAAAAAAGAAGGCAGCUCAU